rnacentral:rRNA from 1 species
GACGAACGCUGGCGGCGUGCCUAAUACAUGCAAGUAGAACGCUGACGGAGGGGCUUGCUCUUCUGGAUGAGUUGCGAACGGGUGAGUAACGCGUAGGUAACCUGCCUGGUAGCGGGGGAUAACUAUUGGAAACGAUAGCUAAUACCGCAUAACAGUAGAUGUUGCAUGACAUUUACUUAAAAGGUGCAAUUGCAUCACUACCAGAUGGACAUGCGUUGUAUUAGCUAGUUGGUGGGGUAACGGCUCAUCAAGGCGACGAUACAUAGCCGACCUGCGAGGGUGAUCGGCCACACUGGGACUGGGACACGGCCCAGACUCCUACGGGAGGCAGCAGUAGGGAAUCUUCGGCAAUGGACGGAAGUCUGACCGAGCAACGCCGCGUGAGUGAAGAAGGUUUUCGGAUCGUAAAGCUCUGUUGUAAGAGAAGAACGAGUGUGAGAGUGGCAAGUUCACACUGUGACGGUACCUUACCAGAAAGCUACGGCUAACUACGUG